CUCCAACAACUACGUCUGAUAGACGGCCUUUUGUACACUUUGGCUUUUUGAAGCAUGACGGCUACCGUAGCUGAAAUACUGCUUGGAGAGAGAGAGACUU